rnacentral:ncRNA from 2 species
AUGGGUUAGUCGAUCCUAAG